UACGGAGGGUGCGAGCGUUGUUCGGAAUCACUGGGCUUAAAGCGUGUGUAGGCGGAUCGUUAAGUGUCUUGUGAAAUCCCACGGCUCACCCGUGGAACUGCUGGGCAUACUGGCGAUCUUGGGCCAACUAGGGGCAACUGGAACAAGCGGUGGAGCGGUGAAAUGCGUAGAUAUCGCUUGGAACGCCAAAGGUGAAAACAGGUUGCUGGGGUUGUGCCGACGCUGAGACACGAAAGCCAGGGGAGCAAACGGG
rnacentral:rRNA from 1 species